CGAGAUCUGACGGUUGUAAAAACAAGACUUUCUCUGCACAAGCUCUCUCUUUGCCUGCUGCCAUCCACCUAAGAUGUAACUUGCCUUUCCUCGCCUUCCACCAUGAUUGUGAAGCCUCCACAACCAUGUAGAACUAUGAGGAAACAGAGGCCCAAAAAGUUGAGCAACAUGCAAACCUCAUACAAUUAAUUACUGGUAAAGCCAGUAUUCAAGUAAAAAGUGAAGAGUAACUAAAUUCAGAAAAAAAAAUCACAGACUUAUUAGAAAGAUUUGGAUGAGUUAUGAGGCUUGAAAUAGAAUCGUAAUUGUAGAAAUGAAAAAAAGGAUGAUGUGGGCCGGUCGUGGUGGCUCACUCCUGUAAUCCCAGCACUUUGGGAGUGAGAGGCAGGUGGAUCACGAGGUCGGGAGAUGGCGACCAUCCUGGCUAACACAAUGAAACCUAGUCUCCACUAAAAAUACAAAAAAUUAGCCAGG
rnacentral:lncRNA from 10 species